UCACUUUGGCAGCGCAUAGACUAAAAUUGGAAUGCUCCAGAGCAGAUUAAGCACGGCCCCUGCACAAGGAUGACACGCAGAUUUGUGAAGACAAGAGUUUAAUA